rnacentral:lncRNA from 1 species
CAAGCAAAAGAACUAGAAGAAGAAAAGCAAUAAUAAAUAAAUAAACAAAUAUUGAAAUGAAUGAUUGAGUGAGAAAUUGUAAAUGAAGGCUAUUGGAAUGCUUAGGAUUCAUUUGAAGAUGCAUACAAAAGUUUAAUAGAAUUAAUCGACAUCAUUUUUUAUCAUAAAUAGCUCAUUAAUUAUAAAUCUUACCUGAAAUAUUCCUUCAUAUGGAAUAUUGUUGCUUAGAGAAGUAUUUGAGAAGUCUCUCCAUGUUUUCUAUUGAAUAAAAUUUUCCAAAGAUAAAAUAUCGACAACAAAUUUUAUUCUAGAUACUUCAGAAUGUAAUGUUAAUUGGAAGCAAUGGUAGUGUAACAUAUAGAAACAUAAAGCAUGCAUAUAUUAUACUAUGAAUAGUUAGGUUCUAUUCCAUAAAAUAUGAAUCUAAUGCCUUGAAAAGAAUAUUUUGACACUGAAAAUUACCUAUGCCCCAAAGAAAAGGAAGGAGAAAAGAAAAUAAAAUUGGGUACAUAUUUAGUUAAGUUCCAUAGAAAUUCAAAUUGAGUAAACCUUUGAUAAGAACAUUGGGAGAUUUUACCAAUGAGAUCAAUGAUAAAAGGAAAUGCUAACAUUGUGCAAUAUGGUGGAAAAAAGAAUAUAAUCAAUCAUUUAAAAAAAAAAAAAAAAAGGGAGAAAAAUGGAAAAAGGAAAAAGGAACAAAGAGAUAAAAAAAAAAAAGAAAAAAGAAUGGAUUUCCUCAUAUCUUUGGUAAAACGAAAAUCUACCUUUUGUAAAUUUAAAUCAUGGGUAGUUAUACUGUGUGUGGUGAUGAUAUCCUAAAUAUACAUUAUACAAUUUAGACUAACUCAUUGAUUUGGACUCAAAACUGCAUAUUAGACUUGAGUUCUACGACCAAUCAAUACAUCUUCUAAUGUGAUGGCUUUUUGAUUAAUGAGUUAGUUAAACCUACAUCAUUAAUGAAAUAUUGAAUCCAAAGCUUCUAGGGUUUUUUUUUCCUUUUUUUUUUUUUUUUCCUUUACCAUUUUUGGAUACAAGAUAUAAUACAUAAGAAUCACAAAAUAGUAUGUUACCAUUACCUAAAUAUAUAAAAAAAAUUAAAUUGUUUGUUACCACAUUUGGAAAAAAGGUUUCUUCCCCCUUUUCUCCAUCUUAGUAGUUGAAAUAUAUGGGAAAUUACCAUGG